rnacentral:rRNA from 1 species
AACUUAAUCCUAACUUAUAAAUAAAUAAAUAGUCAACUACUGGAAAUUUUGGUUGGGGCGACCGGGGAUUAAAAGGAACUUCCUUUAUAAAAAUUUAGAUGCCCAAAUAUUGAUCCAGCAUUAUAUGAUUAAAGAAAUUAGUUUCCGUUGGGAUAACAGCAUUAUCUUUUUUAAGAGUUCUUAUCGAAAAUUCGUUUGUGACCUCGAUGUUGGACCAGAAUAUCCUAAAGAUGCAGCCGUCUUUAAGG